UAAGGUGAUAUGAACCGUUAUAACCGGCGAUUUCCGAAUGGGGAAACCCAGUGUGAUUCGUCACACUAUCAUUAACUGAAUCCAUAGGUUAAUGAGGCGAACCGGGGGAACUGAAACAUCUAAGUACUCCGAGGAAAAGAAAUCAACCGAGAUUCCCCCAGUAGCGGCGAGCGAACGGGGAGCAGCCCAGAGCCUGAAUCAGUGUGUGUGUUAGUGGAAGCGUCUGGAAAGGCGCGCGAUACAGGGUGACAGCCC
rnacentral:rRNA from 1 species